GAUGGAGAGAGGCUUGGUUUUUAUCCCCAGACAAGCCCUACCUCCCCACCCCCUUGAAGCUAAUCUCCUGUAAACAAACAGGGUGAAAUCUAGGGCAGGGCAAGGCUACUUCAUCUCAAAGUGGAAAGGAUUACCAGUACUUUAAACCUGUUUCCCAUGCAGGGAUGUCUAGGCAGUGUCAGAGGAUAAGGAACACCUGGCCCUUUCAAAAGAUGGCCCUGAGCAGGGAUUAAGGAGCAACUUAGAGAAAAGGAACCGGCACUCAGGAGAUGGUCCCCAGAUGUGGAGGGCUCCUUGGCCUUUAAGACUUAACAGAGGGACUGUAAGUCUCUUGAGGAAAAGAGCACAGGCUAUCUUGCUGCAUCUUAGUGAAAGACUAACAGGUUUAUUGGGGUGUAAAUGGGCUACGUAGUCUACUAAUCAGAUGCAUGAAGCACAUCAGUGUAUACCUGAGACACACAGAGAUUCCGUGAUCGUAAAUCAUGGGAGACGAGGGAUUUCUCUCGAAUAUGAUGGCAAGAGAGUGAGAGUGAAUCACACAAAAAUGUAUCUUAUGGCUAGUAUACGCCUGAGCCCUUUUGCACGCCUUCGAUCAGAGCCCUCUGGGUGUCAAGGACGGAUUCAGAAGGGGCAGUCAUUUCCUUGUCCUUGUAAAUCUUCAGCCACAAUUCUUUGCACACCUUUAACCGCGGAGUCACCGGUGGCUUCUCCAUAACUCUCCGCCGGUUCUGCCUUUGCUCUGUCAGCUCCAGUGACAGCGAUUCGUGUCUGGUUUUCAAAUAACAGCAAUUUCCCCGACAGGUGAGUCUUCCUGCCCUUGGAUGCAGCCUGUUGCAAGGGACAAUGUCACAAUCCAUCGGAUCUCUCUGUUGGCAUUUAGAAGGUGCUUCUCGGGCUGGUAUCUUACCACAGGAUUCAGAUUGUAAUGCAAGAAAUAAAGGAAGCAAUAAACAGGCAAUUAAAAAUAAAAA